UACAGAGGUGCCAAGCGUUGUUCGGAUUUAUUGGGCGUAAAGGGCGCGUAGGCGGCCUGUUAAGUCGAACGUGAAAUCCCCGGGCUCAACCCGGGAACUGCGUCCGAUACUGGCAGGCUUGAAUUCGGGAGAGGGAUGCGGAAUUCCAGGUGUAGCGGUGAAAUGCGUAGAUAUCUGGAGGAACACCGGUGGCGAAGGCGGCAUCCUGGACCGAGAUUGACGCUGAUGCGCGAAAGCCAGGGGAGCAAACGGG
rnacentral:rRNA from 1 species